rnacentral:rRNA from 1 species
UGGGGAAUAUUGCACAAUGGGCGCAAGCCUGAUGCAGCGACGCCGCGUGGAGGAUGACGGUCUUCGGAUUGUAAACUCCUGUUAAGUGGGAAGAAAGACCAGUAUCUAAUACAUGCUGGGGAUGACGGUACCACUAGAGAAAGCACCGGCAAACUUCGUGCCAGCAGCCGCGGUAAUACGAAGGGUGCUAGCGUUGUUCGGAAUGACUGGGCGUAAAGAGCGUGGAGGCGGUUUCUUAAGUCAUCUGUUAAAUCACUCGGCUUAACUGAGUACUUGCAGGCGAUACUGAGAGGCUAGAGUACAGGAGAGAAAGGUAGAAUUCUCGGAGUAGCGGUAAAAUGCGUAGAUCUCGAGAGGAAUACCGGUUGCGAAGGCGGCCUUUUGGCCUGUUACUGACGCUUGAGCGCGAAAGCGUGGGGAGCAAACA